rnacentral:lncRNA from 1 species
CACUAACUGAAUGAAUGCUGGCAAGUUAUAUCAGCAAGCGCAAGGCUAGGCAUCCACUUACAAAGUUACAACAGCAGGUAUAGAUUAUAACACAAGAUGGUGAAAAAAAAAUACAACAAUGGACAAUCUCUCCUAAUGAACAACACCAAAUUUCAGGUAUUCAGCAAUAGCAGCAGACAGUUGUUAGCUGGACUCUAUACCCGAAGAUAAUUUCAGCAGCAGCAACAUACACAAUUGUUAACUGGAGCCUAUACCCACAUCUUCUUUGUGGCUUCCAUCCGCUCAAGCAGGCCCUGGAUUUCGGUCUGCAUCCGCAGCUUCAUCUUGUGGUAGUCGUAGUGCGAGUUCUCUAGCAGCUUCAGCUCUUCGAC